rnacentral:ribozyme from 1 species
UGCCCAUCAACUCCUGUCCCUACCUCCUCGUGGUACAAUUGACAGGAAAAGGGAGG